rnacentral:rRNA from 1 species
UACGUAGGCAGCGAGCGUUGUUCGGAAUUACUGGGCGUAAAGAGUGUGUAGGCGGUGUUCCCAGUCUGUUGUGAAAUCUCCCGGCUUAACUGGGAGGGUGCAGCGGAAACUAGAAUGCUAGAGGGUGGGAGAGGUAAGCGGAAUUCCUGGUGUAGCGGUGAAAUGCGUAGAUAUCAGGAGGAACACCUGUGGUGUAGACAGCUUACUGGACCACUUCUGACGCUGAGACCCGAAAGCGUGGGUAGCAAACAGG